rnacentral:rRNA from 1 species
GGGUUGUGAGGUUAAGCGACUAAGCGUACACGGUGGAUGCCCUGGCAGUCAGAGGCGAUGAAGGACGUGCUAAUCUGCGAAAAGCGACGGCGAGGUGAUAUGAACCCUUGACCCGUCGAUGUCCGAAUGGGGAAACCCAGUGUGUUUCGACACACUAUCGUUAACUGAAUACAUAGGUUAACGAGGCGAACCGGGGGAACUGAAACAUCUAAGUACCCCGAGGAAAAGAAAUCAACCGAGAUUCCCCCAGUAGCGGCGAGCGAACGGGGAGCAGCCCGGAGUCUGAAUCAGCUUGUGUGUUAGUGGAAGCGUCUGGAAAGUCGCACGGUACAGGGUGACAGUCCCGUACACGAAAGCACACAGGUUGUGAACUCGAAGAGUAGGGCGGGACACGUGGUAUCCUGUCUGAAUAUGGGGGGACCAUCCUCCAAGGCUAAAUACUCCUGACUGACCGAUAGUGAACCAGUACCGUGAGGGAAAGGCGAAAAGAACCCCGGCGAGGGGAGUGAAAAAGAACCUGAAACCGUGUACGUACAAGCAGUGGGAGCACCUUCGUGGUGUGACUGCGUACCUUUUGUAUAAUGGGUCAGCGACUUAUAUUCUGUAGCAAGGUUAACCGUAUAGGGGAGCCGCAGGGAAACCGAGUCUUAACUGGGCGUUAAGUUGCAGGGUAUAGACCCGAAACCCGGUGAUCUAGCCAUGGGCAGGUUGAAGGUUGGGUAACACUAACUGGAGGACCGAACCGACUAAUGUUGAAAAAUUAGCGGAUGACCUGUGGCUGGGGGUGAAAGGCCAAUCAAACCGGGAGAUAGCUGGUUCUCCCCGAAAGCUAUUUAGGUAGCGGCACGUGAAUUCGUCUUCGGGGGUAGAGCACUGUGUCGUCUAGGGGGCCAUCCCGGCGUACCAACCCGAUGCAAACUACAAAUACCGAAGAAUGUUAUCACGGGAGACACACGGCGGAUGCUAACGUCCGUCGUGAAGAGGGAAACAACCCAGACCGCCAGCUAAGGUCCCAAAGUCAUGGUUAAGUGGGAAACGAUGUGGGAAGGCACAGACAGCCAGGAUGUUGGCUUAGAAGCAGCCAUCAUUUAAAGAAAGCGUAAUAGCUCACUGGUCGAGUCGGCCUGCGCGGAAGAUGUAACGGGGCUAAACCAUGCACCGAAGCUGCGGCAGCGACACUAUGUGUUGUUGGGUAGGGGAGCGUUCUGUAAGCCGUUGAAGGUGUGCUGUGAGGCAUGCUGGAGGUAUCAGAAGUGCGAAUGCUGACAUAAGUAACGAUAAAGCGGGUGAAAAGCCCGCUCGCCGGAAGACCAAGGGUUCCUGUCCAACGUUAAUCGGGGCAGGGUGAGUCGACCCCUAAGGCGAGGCCGAAAGGCGUAGUCGAUGGGAAACAGGUUAAUAUUCCUGUACUUGGUGUUACUGCGAAGGGGGGACGGAGAAGGCUAUGUCAGCCGGGCGACGGUUGUCCCGGUUUAAGCGUGUAGGUGUGUGUUCCAGGCAAAUCCGGUUCACUUUAACACUGAGGCGUGAUGACGAGGCACUACGGUGCUGAAGUGAUAAAUGCCCUGCUUCCAGGAAAAGCCUCUAAGCAUCAGGUAACACGAAAUCGUACCCCAAACCGACACAGGUGGUCAGGUAGAGAAUACCAAGGCGCUUGAGAGAACUCGGGUGAAGGAACUAGGCAAAAUGGUGCCGUAACUUCGGGAGAAGGCACGCUGAUAUGUAGGUGAAGUCCCUGCGGACGGAGCUGAAAUCAGUCGAAGAUACCAGCUGGCUGCAACUGUUUAUUAAAAACACAGCACUGUGCAAACACGAAAGUGGACGUAUACGGUGUGACGCCUGCCCGGUGCCGGAAGGUUAAUUGAUGGGGUUAGCGGCAACGCGAAGCUCUUGAUCGAAGCCCCGGUAAACGGCGGCCGUAACUAUAACGGUCCUAAGGUAGCGAAAUUCCUUGUCGGGUAAGUUCCGACCUGCACGAAUGGCGUAAUGAUGGCCAGGCUGUCUCCACCCGAGACUCAGUGAAAUUGAACUCGCUGUGAAGAUGCAGUGUACCCGCGGCAAGACGGAAAGACCCCGUGAACCUUUACUAUAGCUUGACACUGAACACUGGUCCUUGAUGUGUAGGAUAGGUGGGAGGCUUUGAAGCGUGGACGCCAGUCUGCGUGGAGCCGUCCUUGAAAUACCACCCUUUAAUGGCUGGUGUUCUAACGUGGACUCGUGAUCCGGGUUGCGGACCGUGUCUGGUGGGUAUCUUGACUGGGGCGGUCUCCUCCCAAAGAGUACAGGAGGAGCACGAAGGUUAGCUAAUCCUGGGCGGACCUCAGGUGGUUAGUGCAAUGGCCUAAGCUAGCUUGACUGCGAGAGUGACGGCUCGAGCAGGUGCGAAAGCAGGUCAUAGUGAUCCGGUGGUUCUGAAUGGAAGGGCCAUCGCUCAACGGAUAAAAGGUACUCCGGGGAUAACAGGCUGAUACCGCCCAAGAGUUCAUAUCGACGGCGGUGUUUGGCACCUCGAUGUCGGCUCAUCACAUCCUGGGGCUGAAGUAGGUCCCAAGGGUAUGGCUGUUCGCCAUUUAAAGUGGUACGCGAGCUGGGUUUAGAACGUCGUGAGACAGUUCGGUCCCUAUCUGCCGUGGGCGCUGGAGAAUUGAGGGGGGCUGCUCCUAGUACGAGAGGACCGGAGUGGACGCAUCACUGGUGUUCGGGUUGUCAUGCCAAUGGCACUGCCCGGUAGCUAAAUGCGGAAGAGAUAAGUGCUGAAAGCAUCUAAGCACGAAACUUGCCCCGAGAUGAGUUCUCCCUGAGACUAUAAGUCUCCUGAAGGAACGUUGAAGACGACGACGUUGAUAGGCCGGGUGUGUAAGCGCAGCGAUGCGUUGAGCUAACCGGUACUAAUGAACCGUGAGGCUUAACCUUACAACGCCGAAGCUGUU